GUCUACGCCCAUGCCACCCUGAACAAGCCUGAUGUCUGAUCUCAGAAGCUAAGCAGGGUCAGGCGUGGUUAGUACUUGGAUGGGAGACCACCUAGGAAGACCAGGUGCUAUAGGCA
rnacentral:rRNA from 1 species